UCUUGUUUGAGAAUAGAGGAUUGGAGGGACCCAGAGGGGCAGGACAGAGGAAAGGAGUCUGGUCUGGCUGCAUUCCCUUCCUCUGCCAGCCCAUGGACUCAGACCCCAAGGGGCAGAUAAGGCUGUGCCCCAUGGCCCUCUGAGAAAGCCUCCUGUUUCUCGCCCCCUCUCCCAGCUACUUAGCCCUCUUCUCCAGGCUGGAGGCCACUUUCAGCCACUCGCAGGCUGAACCCCUAGGGGAAGGGCCUUUGCUGAUCUCCCCCAGGGCUAAUUACAGCAGAGAGCUGGAGUUAAACACUUGCUCUUCUCCUAGGAGCACCUGUCCUUGUUCCCCCAAAGGUAUGGAGCCUACAGACCCCUUCCCUCCCCACUAAGGAGACAGUGCUGCCUUCGCAGGCGGCCGAGGAGGCUGGAUAGAGGAGAAAAAACCAACACCCAGUGCUAGCCUCCGGGCAAGUGGGAAUACCCUCACUUUGCGGAGGGAGACACACCGGCAGGUGCAGACACUUGCUCAAAUUGCCAUUGAGGCACUGGGCUAAACAUUUUAGCAGACGACAUGUUGAAUCCUCGUAAGAGCCGGACGAGAUACGUCCUCUUACUUUCUCCGGUUUACAGAUGAGGAAACCAAGCCUCAGGAAGGUGAAGCGAUGUAUCAAGAUCACACAGCUAUAUGCAGUGGAGGAUGUUUUCCCCCUACAGGCCACAGGAACCCAGGAGGUCACUGAGCUAUGUACAGAGGAGACAAACACUGACAGAGCUGAGUGACAGCAGGCCGAGAGGGCAAGCUCCUGAGUGGGAUGGAGGUAAGCAUUGGCAGGAGUGGUGGGGGGUGGUCCCCAGGUCUCAGCUUCUGGGUGGGCCCCUGAGCACCGGAGGAAGCUUCCUCUCACCAUGGCUGUCUGGGGACUGUCAACCCAGGAGGCAGAAAAACCCUGCAUUUCAAGGAGGUUUACCAAGCUGCACAGCCAGCAUCCCAUAAAUCUCACCUGCCACCCUCCCCAACACACACUCGGUGGGUGGAGAUGAGUGGGUGAAAGACUACAUCAGUUCUUCCAGAUGUUCCAGCCGGCGAGUCCCAGGCUCAGACAGGACCACAGAAGGCCAGUGGGAAAGUGGUGGCCCCGGCUGAGGGAGCCUCUGGGACUUAUGGGUCUCCAGGAUUUAUGGUGGGUGGAGACUCUACCCAGAGUUUCCCUGGACAGCCUAAAUCCUCCUCUCCCUCUGAGGCCUCUUCUAGAAGCAGCCCCCGAAUCCCUGCUGUAUCCCCAUGCCUAGAACGGUGCUCGGUACCUAGUAGGUAUCAAUAAAUAUUUGUGGAACGAA